rnacentral:lncRNA from 1 species
UUGUUACUAAAAUUAUGUAAUCUAUCAUCUGAAUCUUAUAAUUUGGACUAAAAUGGCCUAACAUAUUUAGGUUCACAUCUGGGAUCAGGAUCUUAUAAGAUUACAAAAUCUCCCUCCCUUUUUUUUUCUACUUCUUCUUAUUCCUUGUUCCCUUUCUAUUUUCUUCCUUUUCUUUCUUUUCUUUUGUUUCUUUUUUCUUUAUUUCCUUUACUCUUAUUUCCUUCCUUUCUCUUUUCUUUUUUUUUCUUCUUUCCAUUUAAACAUCCAUAAACCUUAAAAUAAUACUCAAAAAUAAAAAUAAAAAUAAAAAAAUGCUGCACCAAUAUUGAGCUGAUAUUUAUUCGUGGAUUGGGUGCCAGUAGUUGGGUACCAUGCUUCUAGUUUAUAGUAACAGUAAUCGAAGAUCGUGCAUUGCGUGAGACCGAAUAUACGAAAAUAAUUAUUCUUCUAAAUCAGAUCAGAUUGAAAAAAAUAUAUAUAAAUAAUAAAAUAAUAUUCAUUCAAAUUCUUAACGUCACUUCAUAUUCUCAACUAUCUAUAAAAAUAGGC